rnacentral:rRNA from 1 species
UGGGGAAUAUUGGACAAUGGGCGAAAGCCUGAUCCAGCCAUGCCGCGUGUGUGAAGAAGGUCUUCGGAUUGUAAAGCACUUUAAGUUGGGAGGAAGGGCAGUAAAUUAAUACUUUGCUGUUUUGACGUUACCGACAGAAUAAGCACCGGCUAACUCUGUGCCAGCAGCCGCGGUAAUACAGAGGGUGCAAGCGUUAAUCGGAAUUACUGGGCGUAAAGCGCGCGUAGGUGGUUCGUUAAGUUGGAUGUGAAAUCCCCGGGCUCAACCUGGGAACUGCAUUCAAAACUGACGAGCUAGAGUAUGGUAGAGGGUGGUGGAAUUUCCUGUGUAGCGGUGAAAUGCGUAGAUAUAGGAAGGAACACCAGUGGCGAAGGCGACCACCUGGACUGAUACUGACACUGAGGUGCGAAAAGCGUGGGGGAGCAA